rfam:Volvox carteri f. nagariensis unplaced genomic scaffold VOLCAscaffold_197, whole genome shotgun sequence.
CGACCUGAGCUCAGGCAAGGUUACCCGCUGAACUUAAGCAUAUCAUUAAGCGGUGGAAAAGAAACUAACCAGGAUUCCCCUAGUAACGGCGAGCGAACCGGGAAUAGCCCAACUUGAAAAUCUCCCCUUGGAGAAUUGUAGUCUACAGAAGCGCCCUCAUGGGCUGGCGGAACUCAAGUCGGAUCGAAUGCCGCGUCAGAAAGGGUGAUAACCCCCGUCGGUUCCUGCCUAGUCCUCUCACGAGGUGCUUUCCACGAGUCGGGUUGUUUGGGAAUGCAGCCCUAAUUUGGAGGUAAAUCCCUUCUAAGGCUAAAUACUGCUGAGAGACCGAUAGCGAACAAGUACCGUGAGGGAAAGAUGAAAAGAACUUUGAAAAGAGAGUUAAAAGUGCUUGAAAUUGUUGAGAGGGAAGCGAUUAGCGCUUGUGUGUGCCCCCCGGCUAAGUGUGCCUAACGGCCCAUGAAUGUGCUGGGUGCUGGUCAAAGUGGUUGUCUUGGCGGGAAACAAUUGGGUCCACCCCGGUAACCCGGCCGAUGCCGCCGAGAUGAACAAGGCGUGAAGGUUGCUUUGUCCUUCGGGAUCCGCAUCCUAAAGACUCUGGCAGAAAAGCGUUAAUCGACCCGUCUUGAAACACGGACCAAGGAGUCUAACAUGUAUGCGAGUUGGCGGGUUGAAAACCCGUAAGCGCAAGUAACCUGACUGGUGGGAUGGCCUGUGCCUGCACCAUCGACCGACCAUGUUGCUUNUGCGAAAGGUUUGAGUGCGAGCAUACCUGUUGGGACCCGAAAGAUGGUGAACUAUGCCUGAGCAGGGUGAAGCCAGAGUAACCUCUGGUGGAGGCUCGUAGAUGUGCUGACGUGCAAAUCGCUUUUCAGACUUGGGUAUAGGGGCGAAAGACUAAUCGAACCAUCUAGUAGCUGGUUCCCUCCGAAGUUUCCCCCAGGAUAGCUGGAGCUUGAUCAGUUUUAUCGGGUAAAGCGAAUGAUUAGAGGUUCGGGGGAUGAAACAUCCUUCACCUAUUCUCAAACUUUAAAUAGGUAAGACGUGUCGGUUGCUUAACUGAACCGUCACAUUCAAUGUGAGCUCCAAGUGGGCCAUUUUUGGUAAGCAGAACUGGCGAUGCGGGAUGAACCGAUAGUCGAGUUAAGGUGCCAAACUGCGCGCUAACCUAGAUCCCACAAAGGGUGUUGAUUGAUAUAAACAGCAGGACGGUGGUCAUGGAAGUCGAAAUCCGCUAAGGAGUGUGUAACAACUCACCUGCCGAAUCAAUUAGCCCCGAAAAUGGAUGGCGCUUAAGCGCGCGACCUAUACUCGGCCAUGGAUGCAAGUGCGACGCGUCCAUGAGUAGGAGGGCGUGGGUGUCGAGACUAAGCCUCUGGCGUGAGCCUGGGUGAAUCGGCAUCUAGUGCAGAUCUUGGUGGUAGUAGCAAAUAUUCAAAUGAGAACUUUGAAGACUGAAGUGGAGAAAGGUUCCAUGUGAACAGCAAUUGGACAUGGGGGGUCGAUCCUAAGAGAUGGGGCAAUCCUGUGUGAAGAGCGCGAUUUGCGCUUCCCAUCGAAAGGGAAAAGGGUUAAGAUUCCCUUNNNNNNNNNNNNNNNNNNNNNNNNNNNNNNNNNNNNNNNNNNNNNNNNNNUGAGGGAAAGAUGAAAAGAACUUUGAAAAGAGAGUUAAAAGUGCUUGAAAUUGUUGAGAGGGAAGCGAUUAGCGCUUGUGUGUGCCCCCAGGCUUAAGUGUGCCUAACGGCCCAUUGAAUGU